ACUAAACGAGAGAAGAAAGAAUGAAAGUACACAACUGCCGGACGAGUCAAAUCGCGACGUUCAUCCCGAAUACAUCGGUUGUCUCGGCGACCAUCCCGUCGGGUCUCACGCCCGAUUACACGCCGGUGGCCGACGUUGUCAGUGCUGCCAAUCGUACGGCCGACCACCCGUCAACACGCGUCACCAGAGGUCUGUUCUUUUUAGCUGAGCUAGGUUCCACUUUUUGCCUUUAGAGUGAAACAAGUGUGUAAGAACAACUUCAACGAAAGGGGAACGAAGUUUCAGUGCGGUAUCAGUGCUGAAAGCUUUCGGCUAAAAAGAACAGGCUUCAGUUCUUGUGAUCUCUCAAACGUUUCUCGAAGGGAAUCGAUUGCUCGAACGUUUCUCGAAGGGAAUCGACUACAGUGAGUUCGAGAGUUUGAAUAGGUGCGGCUCUCAUCCACUUUUACCGACGUCGAUGAAAUCUUAAUCUCAUAACGUUUUUUACUUAGAUGUACUAGAAAGCUGGUGCAGCAACAGCUAGAUUUCGAUGAAAACUAAACCAGUGCAAUAAUAGUGCGUGUUUAGUAUGGUUUAGUGAAAUUCAUUAGACGAAAUUUCUUCUUAAACUUGAAAAGGUAAAUAAUUUUAUUUCUUGAUUAAAAAUAUGCUAACCCACACAGCACAUAAUAUUAUAUAAUAUCACAGUAAUAUUUCCGUAAUAUUGUAAUAUCGCAGAAAUAUUAUUAAAAUAUUACUGUGAUAUUAUAUAUAUCACGUGCUGUGUGGGAAGUUUUACUUAAGCUUACCCGCUUGUCAAUCAUUUCAUAAAAAUCAUGUCUUUUAUAUAACUUUUGAAAUUUUUGGUGUGGGAUUGAUGUGAAAUAUACGAUAGCAAAAUUUCAUCGUUAUAUAUAUAUAUAUAUAUAUAUAUAUAUAUAUAUAUAUAUAUAUAUAUAUAUAUAUAUAUACACAUACACUGAUUGAAGACAAUAAUUCUAAUACAUCCAUUUUAUAACUUUAUCUAAUAGUAAAAAUAUAUGAACUUGAAUUGUUUAUUUUACAAUAGUACCCUGAUUGAAUCAUUUCCAAAACUUUCAAGAUUUUUAAACAUUAAAAUGUCAUUACGCGACUGUUAUUAGACACGUCAAAACACAAACAAAAUCGUUAUUAUGAAAUUAAUUACAAUAAGAACAAUGUCAAAUCUUCAAACCUUAAUAUCAUAUUUUAUAAUAUAUCAUACCUUCAAACAUAACCACAAUUUAAAUGAUAUUCCAGUGUCUCUGAAGAUAACAGAGCAAAAGUUGUACUCAAUAUAAUUCUGUUGUACCAGUUUUGUCAUCAGAAUAUUAGACACUGAAGAUAUGUGAAUAGAUGUUAACAGUAAAACAAUAAAAUUACCCUUAGUAUCGUUGCACUGGUUUAUCUAGUAGAGAAAACGUUAUUAGUUUAAGCUUUAUUCAUAGACAAAGACAUAAACUCGCGUUAAGGUCUAAUCGGCAUUGGCAGAAACGAGUAUCAGUCGCACAUGGCCGUGGAGUUUCGAGGAACGAAAGAGUUUCUAGCGUUCGACGAUCAUUUCGCCAGUUUUGAUCAAAUAUUUACACGCCGAUCAACGAUUUGCGCUUCAGUCGGUUUAGGUGUAUGUCUCAUCGUGAUUUCGAGUGUGUGGCGAAAGAAAUAAAUCAGAUAAGCCGCGUUUCCCACAGAAUCAAGUGAAUCUGCGUUUUACGACUAUCGAUAUCGCAUUGCAUCAUGUUUGUUGGAUAACUUCAUUCGGUUAUACGUUUUCUCGCUCUCCUUCUGUUCCUUUGGUACCUUUUCGCUUCCUUCGUUUCCGCCGACCUCGGUGCCAAUCAAAAUAUAAUAUGUUAAUGUGUAGUUCGUUCAAAUGCAUUAUUCCGGAGCGAUGUUUAAUUCACGCGGAAGUACAUAACGAUUCCUUUCGUCAGCCGUGUUGCGUUCGUGUAAAAUCGGAAUUGUACGAAUAGGUCUCAACGGAAUGUCGUGAUAAUGGGAAGAAAAAGGAAUGAGGGAGCAAUGAAGAGAAAGCAACUCCAAGUUCGUCGUCCCGACACCAAUUCGCACAUUCUGAGAUCUAACUGCGUAAGGGAAAUGUCUAAUAGAUGAUACUCUUGCACGGAUAUUAUCAAAUAUUAAAGGAAAACAAACUCAAAUUUAAAACAAACAUGAGAAACGAAAUUUAAAAGGGAAACGAAUAAUAAAUAAUAAUGGUAAAUAUGCAGUAUAACGCUCUCAUCCUAGAUUUUUUCCAAACUUUGUAAAUUUGUAUAUUUUCGGGCGUAGAAUUGAUUUCUGAAAACGAAAAUUGUCGCUCAUUUUUCAUUUUCUUGUUUUUUUAUUUUAAUGUUAUAUGCUGUCGGUAAGAGAGUAGAAAAGUAAUAACUUUCGUUAUAAAACUUAUUGACAUCAUAAAAUAUUGAAAUAAAAAAACAAGAAAAAUAAGCGACAAUUUUCGCUUUCAGAAAUCAAUUCUACGUGUUAAAAUAUACAAAUUUACAAAGUUCGAAAAACAUCCAAGAUGAGAGCAUUAUGCUGCAUAUUUACCAUAAUAAUCGCUAAAUAAUUAAUAAGUAAUUGAUAAAUCCCCAUGUACCUUAAUAUUUGAUAAAAUCUGAGAGAAAACUGACAGGUACUGUAACGAAUACGUUUCCCCGAAUUCUUUAUUUUCGCGUCCAUUCUUCCUCGCAAUAGAUUGAUGGGUGCGACGACCGCUUGGAGGAAGAUCUACGUAGAAAAAAUGUUUUGCGACUUUGUGUAUUUCGAUUUGGAAAGAUUUCGACGCUGUGUCGACGCAGCUGCGGAAAUAGGAUGUUAUGCGUCACGCGGGGCUCGUCAACAGGAAUACAUUAGCGACACGCGGAUUGGCAUUAACAUUCGCAAUGACGUAGAGUAGGUCAUUGGCGUAUGCAUUUGUUUUCGCCCGUUUCCUGCUUCUCUACUCCCCCUGCCACUUCUCAUUUGUCGCUACAACAACGUUUAUGCAAGAUUGUAACGAAUCAAGAACCUAUUGAAAUUGAUGAUAUCAUUGUUGAUACCGGAGUGCGUAAAUUGCCGGCGAGUGAUUGGAGAGGAUAACUGUUUUUAAGUCGCAAGCCGACGCAUUGUGAAAUACUGCGUAGAAGACACGAUCGAGAGUUUCUCUUAGUGAUGACUGGGAGCGGAGUGGUGACUUUUAAAAGGACCUUCUCUCUCUCUCCACUUGAUCGCUUGUGCGAAAUCAUAAAUUAGAGCGUGUUAACUCCUAUACGAUCGGGCUUUUGCGUGUCCUUAUUUGGCAUGAAGGUCGAAUACCGUGAAGGAACGUCGUCUACGAUGCAGUCAUAUAAAAUCGACCGCAUUUAUCAACGACCUCUGAAUGUUCGCAACGAUAACAAUAUGAUAUUCUAAAGCUUGAGUGUUGUAUAUACUAAUGCGAAUAAAUAAGGAAAACAA